UACGGGGGGGGGCAAGCGUUGUUCGGAAUUACUGGGCGUAAAGGGCUCGUAGGCGGUCUGUCGCGUCGGUCGUGAAAACUUGGGGCUUAACCCUGAGCUUGCGGUCGAUACGGGCAUGACUGGAGUUCGGCAGGGGAGACUGGAAUUCCUGGUGUAGCGGUGAAAUGCGCAGAUAUCAGGAGGAACACCGGUGGCGAAGGCGGGUCUCUGGGCCGAUACUGACGCUGAGGAGCGAAAGCGUGGGGAGCGAACAGG
rnacentral:rRNA from 1 species